GUCACUGUGCCGGAGUGGUUAACGGGAUCGCCUGCUAUACAAUAAGCGGUUGGGCUUUGCCCGCUAGAGUUCGAAUCUCUACGGUGACG